rnacentral:rRNA from 1 species
GACGAACCGUGCGAACGUUAUUCGGAAUCACUGGGCUUAAAGCGCGUGUAGGCGGGCCGCCCCGUCGGCUGCUGAAAUCCCUCGGCUCAACCGAGGACGUGCAUUCGAAACUGCGAGGCUCGAGUAUGGAAGAGGGUCGCGGAAUUCCCGGUGUAGAGGUGAAAUUCGUAGAUAUUCGGAGGAACACCAGUGGCGAAGGCGGCUCACUGGUCCGGUACUGACGCUGAGGUGCGAAAGCGUGGGGAGCAAACAGG